UACGUAGGGUGCAAGCGUUAUCCGGAAUUAUUGGGCGUAAAGCGCUCGCAGGUGGUUCGUCGCGUCGUGCGUGAAAGACCCCGGCUCAACUGGGGAGGGUCGUGCGAUACGGGCGGACUGGAGGCCAGUAGGGGGAUGCGGAAUUCCGGGUGUAGUGGUGGAAUGCGUAGAGAUCCGGAGGAACACCAGCGGCGAAGGCGGCAUCCUGGACUGGUCCUGACACUCAUGAGCGAAAGCGUGGGGAGCGAUCCGG
rnacentral:rRNA from 1 species